rnacentral:rRNA from 1 species
CACGAACCGGGCAAACGUUAUUCGGUAUUACUGGGCUUAAAGGGUGCGUAGGCUGCGCUAUAAGUCGGGUGUGAAAUCCCUCAGCUCAACUGAGGAACUGCGCCCGAUACUGUAGUGCUUGAGGAGGAUAGAGGUGAGCGGAACUAGCAGUGGAGCGGUGAAAUGCGUUGAUAUUGCUGGGAACACCCGUGGCGAAAGCGGCUCACUGGGUCCUUUCUGACGCUGAGGCACUAAAGCUAGUGGAGCGAACGGG